rnacentral:rRNA from 1 species
ACGGGGUGCAGCAGGCGCGAAAACUUUACAAUGCGAGAAAUCGUGAUAAGGGAACUCCGAGUGCCCGUAAAAUCGGGCUGUCCAUCGGUUUAAAUAACCGGUGAAGAAAGGGCCGGGCAAGACCGGUGCCAGCCGCCGCGGUAAUACCGGCGGCUCGAGUGGUGGCCACUAUUACUGGGCUUAAAGCGUUCGUAGCUGGUCUGUUAAGUCUCUGGGGAAAUCUUCCGGCUCAACCGGAAGGCGUCUCAGGGAUACUGGCAGACUAGGGACCGGGAGAGGUGAGGGGUGCUCCAGGGGCAGGAGUGAAAUCCUGUAAUCCUUGGGGGACCACCUGUGGCGAAGGCGCCUCACCAGAACGGCUCCGACAGUGAGGAACGAAAGCUGGGGGAGCAAACCGGAUUAGAUACCCGGGUAGUCCCAGCUGUAAACGAUGCGCGUUAGGUGUAUCGGUGACCACGAGUCACCGAGGUGCCGAAGAGAAAUCGUGAAACGUGCCGCCUGGGAAGUACGGUCGCAAGGCUGAAACUUAAAGGAAUUGGCGGGGGAGCAC